rnacentral:rRNA from 1 species
UACGAAGGGUGCAAGCGUUGUUCGGAAUUACUGGGUGUAAAGCGCGCGUAGGCGGGUCAGCAAGUCGAUUGUGAAAUACCUGGGCUUAACCCGGGAAUGGCAGUCGAAACUCCUGAUCUUGAGUGCCUGAGAGGAUGGCGGAAUAGCCGGAGUAGUAGUGAAAUACGUAGAUAUCGGCUAGAACACCUGAGGCGAAGGCGGCUAUCUGGCGGUGCACUGACGCUAAGGCGCGAAAGCGUGGGGAGCAAACAGG